UACGGAGGGGGCUAGCGUUGUUCGGAAUUACUGGGCGUAAAGCGUGUGUAGGCGGCUACGUAAGUCGGAUGUGAAAGCCCCAGGCUCAACCUGGGAAGUGCACUCGAUACUGCGUAGCUUGAGUAUCGGAGAGGUUGGUGGAAUUCUCGGUGUAGAGGUGAAAUUCGUAGAUAUCGAGAGGAACACCGGUGGCGAAGGCGGCCAACUGGACGAAUACUGACGCUGAGACACGAAAGCGUGGGGAGCAAACAGG
rnacentral:rRNA from 1 species